rnacentral:rRNA from 1 species
UAUGUGAUCGUCUCUCGCAUAUCAAUAAGCGGAGGAAAAGAAACUAACAAGGAUUCCCCCUAGUAACGGCGAGUGAAGCGGGAAGAGCUCAAAUUUGAAACCUUAAAGGGUUUCCCUUUACGAAUUGUAGUUUAAAGAAGUGUUUUCUGUUGAGGUUUUGGUAAAAGUUCUUUGGAAUAGGACAUCAUAGAGGGUGAGAAUCCCGUAUUUGACCUUUACUUUCAACUUUGUGAUACACUUUCAAAGAGUCGGAUUGUUUGGGAAUGCAGUCCAAAAUGGGUGGUAAAUUUCAUCUAAAGCUAAAUAUUGGCGAGAGACCGAUAGCGAACAAGUACCGUGAGGGAAAGAUGAAAAGAACUUUGAAAAGAGAGUUAAACAGUACGUGAAAUUGUCAAAAGGGAAGCGUUUGACACCAGUGUUGUUUUUCUGAAAAUCAAUUAAAGAACUGUUUAUGCUAAGCUGUUUAGACUUUAUCAGCUAACUGUUUAGUUUUGAGCUUUUCUUCAAUGCACUUUUCAGUUAACAAGUCAACAUCAAUUUCUUUUGCUGUAAAAAAGCUUGAGGAAGGUGGCUUGAGAUUCGUCUUAAGUGUUUAUAGCCUCUUGCCUAUGCAGUCGGAGAGAUUGAGGUCUGCAGCGUAGAUCCUUCGGGGCUAAAUGCAUUUGUGCUAAGUUAUAGCAUUUUAUAGACAACUUGUUGACUAUGAUUUGUCUUGUAGCUUACUCGCUUAUGUUAUUUUACCUACGCUUAGGAUGUUGAGUAGCGACAUACGCAC